CCUGCCUCUCCAGACACACCAAUUGACUUCCAUCAAUUCCUUGCUAGUCUGGACUACACGACAUCCUUACCAGGUGAUUGAUCAAGACGCCAUUCAAUGAGAAGGUGAUCCGCUGAAUAUAUCUCUUCUCUUAUCAGCCAAGUGGCAAUUGUGAUGGCUUGCAAUCCAUCUGAUGUUACUUGAUUCCUGAGCACGAUACCGCUGGGGAUUGCUCUUGCUUCGAGACAUGCUAGUUAUUUGCUUGUCGUCUAAUAGUGUCACUGGCAAGGGGUCAGUUGCACAUCUAUCACACUGCUGUGGAUUUGGAGUCACAUGAAGACUUGGAGGCGUGUACAACAGUUCUCCCUGCCCAAUGUUGGUACCGGCUGUCCAUCAGGCCGUCCAUCGCCUGGGCCCACCUAGCUGUCUCAGCAAGAAUACUCACAAGCGGGCAAAGAAAGUGUCCUUGAAGCAAUGAUGUACAUCGAAACACGAGAUGUUCAGUGGCAUGCCUUCAUUUGUGUCAAUCACCAAAGCAGCCUGAGGAUGUGCUGGAACAGCCUGCAAGCAUCACCGUGCUUCCAGCACCAACAAACAAUACCAAGCAAAAGCCUUAGGCACAUAUGUUUAGCCAGCUUGCCUAAGACUUUUGCACAGUACUGUGUUUCUCUCCAAGUGCAUUGGGGAGUGAGUUUGUAAAUCUGGCAGGAGCAAAGGAUGAUGGGAAUGAUAAGGGUGGAGCGCUGCGGGAGGCGUGUGGGACAGGUAGCAGAGAAAGAGUGUUUGUCUAAGGUCAUACUCAGCCCUGAGACAUGACCAGGCAAGGUCAUGUGAUUCCAAACAAUUAUUGAUCAUUACAGAAUGUCUCUCUGGUGCUUCCUGCUCCCUCCCCUCUCCCUGCCCCAUUCUCACUCUCAGUCCAUAAUACAGAACCAUCACUCAUGUCAUGACAUUUGUACUUUUACAGCAAUGGUACAGUGCUGGACAUAAGAUUACUGCAGUACAGUGCAGAAGUCUUAGGCACCCUAACUAUAUAUAAGUGCCUGAGACCUUUUCACAGUAUUGUAGUAUGCCCACAAUUUACUAACACUGACCCAUAUGUGGGAGGAAACUAGAGCAUCCCAAGGAAACCCAUACAAUCACGGGGAGUACGCACAAGCUCCUUACACACAGCAGCAGGAAUUGAAUGCUAAUGUUUCAAAAGAAAUGUUCAUUGUAGUGCAAAUUGGUCCGAGUGGUCAUAGUGUCGCGACGCCGAGGUAGUUAUUAAAUUUGCUGGUUGGUGGAAGCUCUGAAUGCCAGAAGAGAGGUAGCUGUUCUUGAACUUGGUGGUGUGGGGCUUCAGGCUUCUGUACCUCCUGCGAGAAGAUGACAUGUCUGGUGAGUCUGGGUGGGCAGAGCUGGGCUGAGAGUGGCAGAUGGAGUUCAAUCUGGAGAUAAUUCACUCUGGAAAUUUGAAUUUGAAGGCAGACUACAAGUUUAAUGCAAGAUUCUUAACAGUGCUGAGGGGCAACAGGAUCCAGAGGGCCAUAUCCAUAAAUCCCUUAUAGUUGCUACGCAAGUUGAUCAUCAUAUUUAUGUGCUGUGUCGUAUGACGUAAGUGAUCAUAGUCUAUGACCAUUAUAGUUCUUGGCAAAUUUUACUACAGAAGUAGUUUGCCAUUGCUGUCUUCUGGGCAGUGUUUUUACAAGAUGGGUGACCACAGCCAUUAUCAAUACUUUUCAGAGAUUGUCUGCCUGGUGUCAGUGGUCGCAUAACCAGGACUUGUGAUCUGCACCGUAUGACCAUCCACCACCUGCUUCCAUGGCUUCAAGACACUACUUCGUGUGAGGGAAGGAGUGUCCUUCAUCUCCUUUCAUAGAGGUGUAUCUCCAUCCCAGCAUCAAACACAAAUUGAUAGGAUGAUUAAGAAGACAAAAUGGAGAUUUGGUUUUAGUUAUUUGGAGGAUUGAGAUCACGAGGUAAUCUUGUAGCUCUAUAAAACUAGUUAGACAACAUGGAGUAUUGUGUUCAGUUCUGGUCAACUUAUUACAAGAAAGCUAUGGAAGUUUUAGAGAGGGUGCAAAGAAGAUUUACCAUAAUGCUGCCUAGAUUAGAGUUCAUGCCUUAAGUGGAAAGGUUAUGCAAGAUAGUGCUUUUCUCUUUGAAUUGAAGGAGGAUGGGGAUGACUUGAUAGAGAUUUAUAAGAGGCAUUGAUAAAACCAGUGCCCUUUUCUGAGUGUGGAAAUGGCUAAUCUAAAAGUGCAUAUUAUUAAAGUGACUGGAGGUACGUGUUAUGGGGAUACUGGAGAUAGGUAUCUUUUUACACAGAGAGUGGUGAGUGUGUAGAACAGACUGCCAAAGUGUGGCAGUGGAGGGGGGUACAUUUGGGACAUUAAAGUGACUCUUAUAUAGGCAUAUUUUUGAAUAAAAAAUGGAAAGCUAUAUGGGAGGGAAGUAUUAGAUUGAUUUCAGUGUAGGUUAAAGGUCAGCAUAACAUUAUGGACGAAGGGUCUGUACUUGUUGUAAUUUUCUAUGUUCAAAAUCCUCACUCUCUACCUGUUUCCAUUCUCUGAUUGACUAUAAGACCACAAGACAGAGAAGAAUAAUUAAGCCAUUCAGCCCAUCAGGUCUAAACCAGAUAACUUUGUUUUCUUCUGGUAAGGUGGCAGCAUGUUUGAUCGCAGUGAUUUCCUCAAGGCCACCCAAAAGUGUUAUUGUCAUUAUUAUACUUAUUUUUCUAUGAUCAGAAGACCCUGCUGGACAUUAAACACUUGAAGUAUUGUAGGUCUACCCCUGCUGAUUGGCAGAGAAUCUAAAGGAGCUGGACGGUGCAAAAUGUGCUGCUGCCUACAUCAAAGAGAUAUCGAUGGAGUCAAUGUGUGGAGGAGGUGUGCUGUCUAACAGAGAGUGAUUGACUUAGUCACUUUUCUUCUGAUCCAAAGACCCUGUGGUACACUGUGGGAUGCUGCGAGUCUGAUUCACUGGUUUAUUGUCGAAUGGACGGCGAGGAGCAGCGUGACUUCAGUUGUAGUGGGACGAGGCCUCAAGCUGCAGUGUUGCCUGCUUCCAACCACUAGGAAAAGAGGCACCAGCGUCAGUGCGCUCCAUUGGGGUGUCUGAGGCGGUGCGGUGCAGUGCUCAUGCUGGGGUUGCUGGUGCAUCACUUCAGAGUUUGCUCAGCAGAAGAAUCGGAAUCAGGAUCAAGUUUAAUAUCACCGGCGUAUGUCAUGAAAUUUGUGAACGUAGUGGCAGUAUUACAAUGCAAUACAUGAUAAUAUAGAAAAAAAUCUAAGUAGGUCAAUAACAGUAAGUACAUACAUGUAUAUUAAAUUAAAAAUAGUGCAUAAACAAAUAAUAUAAAAAACAACUGAAGUGGAGUUCUUGGAUUCAAUGUUCAUUUAGUAAUCGAAUGGCAGAGGGGAAGAAGCUGUUCUUUAAUCACUGAGUGUGUGCCUUUAGGCUUCUGUACAUCCUUCCUGAGGGUAACAGUGAGAAGAGGACAUGUCCUGGGUAAUGGGGGUCCUUAAUAAUGGUGGAACCGCUCCUUGGAGAUGUCUUGGAAUCUACGGAGGCUGGUACCCAGGAUGAAGCUGUCUAAUUUUACAACUUCCUGUAACUUCAUUCAAUCCUGAGCAGUCACCACUUCCCCCAAACCCCACCCCACCAUUACCAGGCAGUGAUGCAGCCUGUCAGAAUGCUCUGUAGGUGUUUUCAAGUGUUUCAGGUGACAAAUCAAGCCUCUUCAAAUUCCUAAAGAAGUAUAGCCACUGUCUUGCCUUCUGUAUAGCUGCAUCAAUCUGUUGGGACCAUGUUAGAUCCUCAAGCUGUAUUGUGUUCGACUGCAGACUGCUGCAACAUUCAUGGACUCAGGGACUUGGACAAUGUAUUUUUUUGUGUGGCUGUAUUUUACAUUAAUCUGCACUAUGUGUGCCUUAUGUUGUAUAUGACUGUUGGUACUGUGUUUUGCACCCUGGCCUCAGAGUAAAGCCUUUUUGUUUGUCUGUAUUCAUGGGUAUUGAUGUAUGGUUGAAUGACAAGUAAACGUGAACUUGAACUUGUUUACAGCUGAUGCCCUUGUUCACCCAGGUUUUACACUCUCAGAGACAUCUGC